rnacentral:rRNA from 1 species
GGAAAUAANCCUCCUCAGGGAGUCAAUCAGCUGCUGUGCGCUCCUCAAGCGCAUAGCCCACAGAUCAAACACGAGUGGCUGUCUCCGAGUCGGUUAAGAUAUGACCGUAGCGGCUCCGCAAGGAGAUCGGUAUACUAGUUCCGUAGGUGAACCUGCGGAAGGAU